rnacentral:rRNA from 1 species
UCCAUCCGAUCUUCGGAUUGGUGAAGACCUAGUGGCGAACGGGUGCGUAACACGUGAGAAACCUGCCCCGGUCUCUGGAAUAACAGUUGGAAACGGCUGCUAAUACCGGAUGCCGUCGGACCAUCGCAUGGUGGACCGACGAAAGGGUUACCGGACCGGGAGGGUCUCGCGGCCUAUCAGCUUGUUGGUGAGGUAACGGCUCACCAAGGCAUCGACGGGUAGCUGGUCUGAGAGGAUGAUCAGCCACACUGGGACUGAGACACGGCCCAGACUCCUACGGGAGGCAGCAGUAGGGAAUAUUGCACAAUGGGCGAAAGCCUGAUGCAGCAACGCCGCGUGCGGGAAGAGGGCCCUAGGGUUGUAAACCGCUUUCAGCAGGGAAGAAAAUGACGGUACCUGCAGAAGAAGGUGCGGCCAACUACGUGCCAGCAGCCGCGGUGACACGUAGGCACCAAGCGUUGUCCGGAUUUAUUGGGCGUAAAGAGCUCGUAGGCGGUUCAGUAAGUCGGGUGUGAAAACUCUGGGCUCAACCCAGAGACGCCACUCGAUACUGCUGUGACUCGAGUGCGGUAGGGGAGCGGGGAAUUCCUAGUGUAGCGGUGAAAUGCGUAGAGAUCUGAAGGAACACCAGUGGCGAAGGCGGCCUCCUG